rnacentral:rRNA from 1 species
CAAGUCGCACGAGAAAGUGGAGCAAUCCAUGAGUAAAGUGGCGUACGGGUGAGUAACACGUGGAUCAUCUACCUUUUAGUGGGGAGUACCCCCGGGAAACUGGGGAUAAUACCGCAUAAGCUCGUAAGAGGAAAGCAGCAAUGCGCUGAAAGAGGAGUCCGCGGCUGAUUAGCUAGUUGGUGAGGUAACGGCCCACCAAGGCGAAGAUCGGUAGCCGGCCUGAGAGGGCACACGGCCACACUGGCACUGAAAUACGGGCCAGACUCCUACGGGAGGCAGCAGUGGGGAAUCUUGCACAAUGGAGGAAACUCUGAUGCAGCGACGCCGCGUGAGCGAUGAAGCCCUUCGGGGUGUAAAGCUCUUUCGACGGGAACGAUGAUGACGGUACCCGAAGAAGAAGCUGCGGCUAACUACGUGCCAGCAGCCGCGGUAAUACGUAGGCAGCAAGCGUUGUUCGGAAUUACUGGGCGUAAAGAGUGUGUAGGCGGUGCUCUAAGUCUGGUGUGAAAUCUCCCGGCUUAACUGGGAGGGUGCGCUAGAAACUGGAGUGCUUGAGGAUGGGAGAGGUAAGCGGAAUUCCUGGUGUAGCGGUGAAAUGCGUAGAUAUCAGGAGGAACACCUGUGGUGUAGACAGCUUACUGGACCAUUUCUGACGCUGAGACACGAAAGCGUGGGUAGCAAACAGGAUUAGAUACCCUGGUAGUCCACGCCCCUAAACGAUGCAUACUUGGUGUGAGCGAUUCAUUUUCGUUUCGUGCCGGAGCUAACGCGUUAAGUU